rnacentral:lncRNA from 1 species
AAAGCUUUCCAGAAGGCGACAUUAGUGAAUUCCUAUGCCUUCUCACAGGAGCAGUUGGGACCUUCUGAUCUCAAUAUGCAAAGCAGCUGGUAACAUGUAAAUCAGCAGCUCUCAGGUUGACUGUUAAAGAAGACUUUUGUAAGGAUGUGACCAUCUAGCAUGGGACCUACUGAUGGUCAGGAGUGGUCAUAUGUUCCUGAGCGAAAGCACCAUAGGCAGAAAGAUUGGGACCCUCAAGACCUGAGAUAUGGCCUCUGAGAUGGUGCAGCUGCAGGAGAGGUUCCUCUUGAUCACUGUGCUGACUGACAGAAGGUUGAGAUGAUCCAUGAUGCCUCUGCUGGGCUAUAAACACCGUUCCUUGAAGAACGGGAUUGUGUUUGGAAAUAAAGCUUUCUGAUGAAAAUUAA